rnacentral:rRNA from 1 species
UAUUGCACAAUGGGUGAAACCCUGAUGCAGCAACGCCGCGUGAGUGAAGAAGUAUUUCGAUAUGUAAAGCUCUAUCAGCAGGGAAGAAGAUGACGGUACCUGAGUAAGAAGCCCCGGCUAACUACGUGCCAGCAGCCGCGGUAAUACGUAGGGGGCAAGCGUUAUCCGGAUUUACUGGGUGUAAAGGGAGCGUAGACGGCAUAGCAAGUCUGAAGUGAAAGGCGGGGGCCCAACCCCCGGACUGCUUUGGAAACUGUAUGGCUGGAGUGCAGGAGAGGUAAGUGGAAUUCCUAGUGUAGCGGUGAAAUGCGUAGAUAAUAGGAGGAACACCAGUGGCGAAGGCGGCUUACUGGACUAUAACUGACGUUGAGGCUCGAAAGCGUGGGGAGCAAACAG